CAUUAUUGAUGUACAAACGUUAUUGAUACAGGAAGUGACAGACAGUUCUUCUGUUGUGUCAGAUCGUGUUCAAUAUAAAUAUUUGCAAUGUUAUUAAAAGAUGGUCAAGUAGACCUAUCACAUUGAUUGAGUUUGAACAACUUCUUCACGCACCUCCUUGCAAUGCUGACUUGCACCACGAAUGCUGUCUUCCCACAAAGGCGACUGAUGAGGUUUUCUUUAAACAAACACCGUUAAUGAAGCUGACAUCUGCAGGAAACCAACAACUAAAUGAAUGCAAGAAGCAACAUCCCAUCUCAGCCUUCCCACUGUCAGUCACACACAGCAUCUCAAAGACAAUACCCAGCCACCACAGGCAGGCACGCCGGACGGGUAGUGUGUCUACUGAAGCCUUCCAACCACCAGUCAGUGUUGUCAAGGCGAUAUACAGUUGAUGUGCUGUAAAUUGAUUUCCGGGGAGAUGUGAUGGAUGAAUGGAAAAUGAACAUCUUCAUCGGUGACCCCUCCGCGCCGUCGUCUCGAUUGCUUCUCCCCACGCCCGCCCAUGAUUGACAAGCGCGCUAACGAGCGCUGUCGCCGGUCAUGUUCUAAUUUCCCUGUGUGGAAAACACGGCGAGUCUCCGGCCCUACGGUAAUGAGCCCUACAAAGAGAAGGAGAGGACAGAAAGAAAGACUCGCCCCGAAGAGAUGGAAGACGGAAUGAAAGAAGUCCAAGUAAAUAAGAUAGAAAGGACCAACAUGAAAGUAGAUUAAAAAAGUUGAGAUUAUUACCGGCAAGGGAAAGGGGCAUGUCAUUGUUUAUCUGUCUUCUACUGUGAUGGAUGUCUUUCUUACUGGCGGUUUCAGCUACAACCUCAACUUAAUGGAUUCCUAGAGUGGGCUGGGAUUUCAAAAGACAAAAUGAGUCUUGGCGUAAUGAGCGGAUGUUAUAUAUUUGAUAUAUUGUAAUUGAUAUAGAGUGGCAGAGUGUGGUCCUCAUUGGACUUUAACGUCUCCUUCAACGCAGACGAGAGCUUCCUUCUAACUUUACUGUUGAACACAAACACCAAUCAAGGUGAUCACAAUUACAGGAAGACAAAGAGAGCAGACUUUUAAACUCUCAACUAAACUUAAUCGAUAUGAUGGAACGCAAGGUCAUAAAGCCAGGUAGCUACGUUUUAAGCACAAAGCUAUAUUGGCAUACCGAGUAGAGACAGAGAGUGUGUGAGAGAGAGUGUAAUGUUUACUGUUAAUUUGUAUUGUUUAUUAUCUACUUGACUUGCUUUGGAAAUGUUAACACAUGUUUCCCAUGCCAAUAAAGCCC
rnacentral:lncRNA from 1 species